CUCCAGCAUAUCUAGUAUUGGAGGCACUGCCUGCCCAGUGACACUAGUUUAACGGCCGCGGUAUCCUGACCGUGCAAAGGUAGCAUAAUCAUUUGUUCUCUAAAUAGGGACUUGUAUGAAUGGCCACACGAGGGUUUAACUGUCUCUUACUUCCAAUCAGUGAAAUUGACCUUCCCGUGAAGAGGCGGGAAUAUACCAAUAAGACGAGAAGACCCUAUGGAGCUUCAAUUAACUAACCCACAAUAACCAAUCAAUAUGCCAACCAGGCCUAACAUAAUCUUAUUUCUGGGUUAGCAAUUUAGGUUGGGGUGACCUCGGAGAAUAAAAUAACCUCCGAGUGAUUUAAUCUGAGACAAACCAGUCAAAGCGUCCUAUCAUUAAUUGAUCCAAUAAUUUGAUCAACGGAACA
rnacentral:rRNA from 1 species